AUUGACUUCUUGCCUGGGGUAGCUUUGUUUUGAAAGCAGGGUUGAAGUGUUCGAUUCACUUAGUUGUUU
rnacentral:tRNA from 1 species